rnacentral:rRNA from 1 species
GACGAACGCUGGCGGCGUGCCUAAUACAUGCAAGUUGAGCGCUGAAGGUUGGUACUUGUACCAACUGGAUGAGCAGCGAACGGGUGAGUAACGCGUGGGGAAUCUGCCUUUGAGCGGGGGACAACAUUUGGAAACGAAUGCUAAUACCGCAUAAAAACUUUAAACACAAGUUUUAAGUUUGAAAGAUGCAAUUGCAUCACUCAAAGAUGAUCCCGCGUUGUAUUAGCUAGUUGGUGAGGUAAAGGCUCACCAAGGCGAUGAUACAUAGCCGACCUGAGGGGGUGAUCGGCCACAUUGGGACUGAGACACGGCCCAAACUCCUACGGGAGGCAGCAGUAGGGAAUCUUCGGCAAUGGACGAAAGUCUGAACGAGCAACGCCGCGUGAGUGAAGAAGGUUUUCGGAUCGUAAAACUCUGUUGGUAGAGAAGAACGUUGGUGAGAGUGGAAAGCUCAUCAAGUGACGGUAACUACCCAGAAAGGGACGGCUAACUACGUG